UACGGAGGAUGCAAGCGUUAUCCGGAAUGAUUGGGCGUAAAGCGUCCGCAGGUGGCUAUGUAAGUCUGCUGUUAAAGAGUGAUGCUCAACCUCAUAAGAGCAGUGGAAACUACAUGGCUAGAGUGCGUUCGGGGCAGAGGGAAUUCCUGGUGUAGCGGUGAAAUGCGUAGAGAUCAGGAAGAACACCGGUGGCGAAAGCGCUCUGCUAGGCCGCAACUGACACUGAGGGACGAAAGCUAGGGGAGCGAAUGGG
rnacentral:rRNA from 1 species